GAAAAUAAGCAAUGCCAGCUUAUGUUCCUAUAUGUUGUCAAUUUUGUGUACCUUUCAAAUUCAAAAAAUCAGGAACAGCUGUAUACACACUUAUACAGCCUGAAUUCAUCUCAUACCAAGGCAGAGUUGUCAGAAAGGCAAAUCAAUAUAAUUAUGGCUUUGACAUUUACGUCAAACUUGGAAAAUUUACAAACUUAGAAGGCUAAAUUCUUCUGCUAAUUCCUCUGGGUGAUGACAUUAUCUUGAGGAGCAUUGAAAAGUACAUUGAGAGAAGACCGAGAAGAGACUGUAGAAGCUUCAAUGCAAAAGGCGCUGUUUGUCCAAGACUGUUUCUUGGGAAAUGAUAUGGUUCUCUGUUGAGGACAAGAAUUGGCACAAACACCUUUUGUAUUGUGUAGCGCACAGCCACAGUUGCGAUGGUGCAGGCAAAGGUCUGUCUGCUCGUGUUGAAGUUUGUAUCGGUGAAAGUGUAAGUUUGCAUGCUUUCUGAAGCAUUUAUAUACAGCCAGGGAUCAGCAGUUUAUGAGCGUAAUGUGGGAUUAAUCGAGAGUGGAAAACUUUGUCUUAGUCCUCUCCCUCGUCGAAUACUAGAGAGUUGCUCUGGAGGGUUCUUGAAAACGUUUGUUAGCUCACUAAGACAAACGAGUUUGCCUAGUAGGUGAGUCUCACUUCCAUCCCUAAAUUGUUCCUACAUAUGAAGAGAGAGGCUCUCAUGAAAUACUUAAAAUGCGUGGCUUAGUUAUGAUUGACGGCUUGGCUUUGUUUUCAUUGGCUUUGAGCUUUGUUUUCUCAGUUGAACAUCACUCUGGCAAGGUUGUUAUUGGGGUUCCUUUGUUUUUUCCUUGGCUGCUCAAAGAUUUUAACUAUGGAUCUCUUUAACUGUAUGCUAACUACCGGUAUCUUAACUGACAUUUUGUCUUGUGUAGUGGAUGAAUCGUUUUUUGUUCUUUUCCCAAGGGUGGUGACCUUUUCUAUGAAAAAGAACUGGAUUUUGUGUUCA